CGAUCGUCGUAUCUAUAAAAUUAAAUGAGGAAGUAAAAGACCUUCGGUAACGUAACAGGACAACUCUUGCACCUCUCUUAGUUCGUCUCUAACAGGAAGCAAAAGUCUCAACUGAAUUAGGCCGCAUUCGAAUUGUUCAUCCUUCAAAAGGCCUGCAUCACGAUCCGAAUUAGUGAGGAUGAAUUUUCUCUCUUGGGAACCAAGCAGCAAUACCGAUCCGGUACCAAGGCUGACAGCGACUUGAAACGAAUCUCAAGGUUAACUCACGGCAUGAUCUCACCACACCUCAGACUACAUCGUGUGGAUGCAGGCAAAAUUGAAUUGCUUUCGCUGACUAUAAUAUCAUGGGAAUGCGAGACGUCCCAUCCCACGCAACUUGAGGCUAACCGGAUUAAAAACCAGAUGAGGCUCACAGAAGUAUGCAAGCUUGGGAAUACUAACGAUACAGGCCUGAAGCUGAGGCUAAUUUUGGGAGAAGGUGGAUCUUUUUGCUUCCUGUUGAUCUAUAAGGUAAGGAUUUCCAAUACCGACUAAAUACGCAUGCGCGAUAUAUUCGGUGGGCGAAAUGGGCCUGAAGGUACAGUUUUCUACACUUACCGACUCGUUCAAAUGGAUCGCGGUCUGAAUCCAGUCGGUAAUUGCAGAAAACUAAA